rnacentral:rRNA from 1 species
CUACGGGUCGCUCCAGUGAGGAAUAUUGGUCAAUGGGCGCGAGCCUGAACCAGCCAUCCCGCGUGCAGGAUGACGGCCCUAUGGGUUGUAAACUGCUUUUCUAUGCCAAGAAACCUGAUUAAGUGUAAUCAGUUGCCGGUAGCAUAGGAAUAAGCAUCGGCUAACUCCGUGCCAGCAGCCGCGGUAAUACGGAGGAUGCAAGCGUUAUCCGGAUUCAUUGGGUUUAAAGGGUGCGCAGGUGGGCUUGUAAGUCAGUGGUGAAAUGCUGCCGCUUAACGGUAGAACUGCCAUUGAUACUGCGAGUCUUGAGUAUGGUUGAGGUAGGCGGAAUGUGUUGUGUAGCGGUGAAAUGCAUAGAUAUGACACAGAACGCCAAUUGCGAAGGCAGCUUACUAAGCCAUUACUGACGCUGAGGCACGAAAGCGUGGGGAGCGAACAGGAUUAGUACCCCUGUAGUC